ensembl:lncRNA
UGAAUGACAGUAACCUAAACCUGUCACUGUUACAUUGAACUGGACGAAUGUGAAUCAUCCAGUAUGCUGUAAUAUAAAUAAGGUCAUGCUCAUGAAUAAAUAACCGUCCUCCCUCAUCUUUGAACGGCACCGACCUCCACUGUCUGCCCUUUGCCUUCAACACUACGGGCGGCAACAAUGUCAUCCUCCUUCUGACCAGACAGCAGCAGAUAGAUAGAGCCAACACGUAGAGAGACAGAGGGGCGCUGUUUCGCUGACUCGGAUCUCUUCUCAUGUGGGAUACAUUCAGCCUCUUGUGAAUCGGAGGAAAAUAAUGAAACGGCAGAGACUAAAUGUAUAGUAAAAUAUAUAGAAAAAAUAUAUAGAAAAAUAUAUAGAAAAAAUAUAUAGAAAAAUAUAUAGAAAAAAUAUAUAGUAAAAUAUAUAGAAAAAAUAUAUAGAAAAAUAUAUAGAAAAAAUAUAUAGAAAAAUAUAUAGAAAGAAAAAAUAUAUAGAAAAAUAUAUAGAAAAAAUAUAUAGAAAAAUAUAUAGAAAAAAUGUAUAGUAAAAUAUAUAGAAAAAAUAUAGAAAAAUAUAUAGAAAGAUAUAUAGAAAAAAUGUAUAGUAAAAUAUAUAGAAAAAAUAUAUAGAAAAAUAUAUAGAAAAAAAUGUAUAAAAAAAAUGUAUAGUAAAAUAUAUAGAAAAAAUAUAUAGAAAAAUAUAUAGAAAAAAUAUCUACAAAAAAAAUAUAUAGAAAAAUAUAUAGAAAAAAUAUAUAGAAAAAUAUCUAGAAAAAAUAUCUAGAAAAAUAUCUAGAAAAAAUAUCUAGAAAAAAAAUAUAUAGAAAAAAUAUAUAGAAAAAAUGUAUAGAAAAAAUAUGUAGAAAAAAAAUAUAUAGAAAAAUAAAAAUAUAAAAAAUAUGUAGAAAAAAAAUAUAUAGAAAAAAUAUAUAGAAAAAAUAUAUAGAAAAAAAUAUAUAGAAAAAUAUAUUUUGGGGGGGGUCAAUUCUGGGCUUCCCUUGGCAGCCAUCAAUACAUGCCAUUGGCUGCAUUUAGAUACACCUCUAUGUUGUAAUGGGGGUACAUUUCAGAUAAACCUCUAUGUUGUAAUGGGGGUAAAUUUCAGAUAAACCCCUAUGUUGUAAUGGGGUACAUUUCAGAUUUUAAAAAACCCUAUGUUGUAAUGGGGUACAUUUCAGAUAAUAAACCCCUAUGUUGUAAUGGGGUACAUAUAAAAAAAACUAUGUUGUAAUGGGGUACAUUUCAGAUAAUAAACCCCUAUGUUGUAAUGGGGUACAUUUCAGAUACACCCCUAUGUUGUAAUGGGGUACAUUUCAGAUAAAAAACACUAUGUUGUAAUGGGGUACAUUUCAGAUAAUAAACCCCUAUGUUGUAAUGGGGUACAUUUCAGAUACACCCCUAUGUUGUAAUGGGGUACAUAUAAAAAAAAACUAUGUUGUAAUGGGGUACAUUUCAGAUAAAACCCUAUGUUGUAAUGGGGUACAUUUCAGAUAAAAACCCCUAUGUUGUAAUGGGGUACAUUUCAGAUAAACCCCUAUGUUGUAAUGGGGGUACAUUUCAGAUAAACCCCUAUGUUGUAAUGGGGGUACAUUUCAGAUAAACCUCUAUGUUGUAAUGGGGGUACAUUUCAGAUAAACCCCUAUGUUGUAAUGGGGUACAUUUCAGAUAAAAAACCCUAUGUUGUAAUGGGGUACAUUUCAGAUAAAAAAAACCUAUGUUGUAAUGGGGUACAUUUCAGAUAAAAAACCCUAUGUUAUAAUGGGGUACAUUUCAGAUAAAAAACCCUAUGUUGUAAUGGGGCACAUUUCAGAUUUAAAAAAACUAUGUUGUAAUGGGGUACGUCUCUUUCUUGUGUUAUUAUAUAAAGCGAUGGUAUGGCACAUGCAUGUGUGUGUGUAUAAACCUUAAUAUGUGCUGUGUGUGUGUGUGUGUGUGUGUGUGUGUGUGUGUGUGUGUGUGUGUGUGUGUG